GCAUUGUUCGUUCAGUGGUAGAAUUCUCGUCUGCCACGCGGGAGACCCGGCUCCGAUUCCCGGCCAAUGCA
rfam:Danio rerio chromosome 4, GRCz11 reference primary assembly.